GUUGUAUAGUUAAGUGACUAAGCGUACAAGGUGGAUGCCUUGGCAAUCAGAGGCGAAGAAGGACGUGCUAAUCUGCGAAAAGCUUGGAUGAGUCGAUAAGAGGCGUUUAAUCCAAGAUAUCCGAAUGGGGAAACCCAGUAGAUGAAGAAUCUACUAUCACUUACUGAAUCCAUAGGUAAGUGAGGCAAACCGGGAGAACUGAAACAUCUAAGUACCCCGAGGAAAAGAAAUCAACCGAGAUUUCGUCAGUAGCGGCGAGCGAAAGCGAAAGAGCCUGUUAAUGAUAACAGCAGAGAUAGAGGAAUAAGCUGGGAAGCUUAGCGACACAGGGUGAUAGCCCCGUACUCGACAUCCAGGCUGUGGUACUAAGUUAACGAGAAGUAGGGCGGGACACGUGAUAUCCUGUUUGAAGAAGGGGGGACCAUCCUCCAAGGCUAAAUACUCCUGAUUGACCGAUAGUGAACCAGUACUGUGAAGGAAAGGCGAAAAGAACCCCGGUGAGGGGAGUGAAAUAGAACCUGAAACCUUGUACGUACAAGCAGUGGGAGCCUGAAAGGGUGACUGCGUACCUUUUGUAUAAUGGGUCAGCGACUUAUAUUUUGUAGCGAGGUUAACCGAAUAGGGGAGCCGAAGGGAAACCGAGUCUUAACUGGGCGUCUAGUUGCAAGGUAUAGACCCGAAACCCGGUGAUCUAGCCAUGGGCAGGUUGAAGGUUGGGUAACACUAACUGGAGGACCGAACCGACUAAUGUUGAAAAAUUAGCGGAUGACUUGUGGCUGGGGGUGAAAGGCCAAUCAAACCGGGAGAUAGCUGGUUCUCCCCGAAAUCUAUUUAGGUAGAGCCUUGAGUGGACACCUUUGGGGGUAGAGCACUGUUUCGGCUAGGGGUCCAUCCCGGAUUACCAACCCGAUGCAAACUACGAAUACCAAAGAGUGAUACUCAGGAGACACACGGCGGGUGCUAACGUCCGUCGUGGAGAGGGAAACAACCCAGACCGCCAGCUAAGGUCCCAAAGUCUAUAUUAAGUGGGAAACGAAGUGGGAAGGCUUAGACAGCUAGGAUGUUGGCUUAGAAGCAGCCAUCAUUUAAAGAAAGCGUAAUAGCUCACUAGUCGAGUCGGCCUGCGCGGAAGAUGU
rnacentral:rRNA from 1 species